ACUUUUCCUCCAGUAAAGACAGCCUCGCCUUUUCUUUCUCUUCCAGUCUUGUCUCGGAGCGCUCUUGUUCUGGUGUCUGACGGGAUAAAAAGAAAUCACGUUUUAAUCUUGCAAGAUAUCUUGUGACACCAACAUUUGUUGCAGUGCUAACAAAAGUGCCACCAUUAGAUGGCGAUAUAAGAUUAGCAAGACACGCUGCACGUGAAGAAAAACACACGAAGAAGAAGGAGACCGGUUUCUUUUUUUUUGUUAGCAAAGGAGCUAAAAAGUCCAACUUUGAUGUUUUAUUUGUCGUGGAAAGAGAAUAUUAGAACGUUGAUGUGAAGUUUGAAUGUAACCCAUUGCUAACAUUAUUCUAUUAUUACCGUCGAAGCCUGUGACAUGUUUAUAAUCAACAUUGUAAGGCAAUAUGAAGCAUAUUCAUCAUAUUAUCAUCACGAGUGUUCCAUCUCCAGCUGGCUGAUCCUGGACUGAAGCUGUGGCACAGAUUCCGCUUGCUCCUGAAUCCUUCUGACCUUCUCAAGCCCCAAGCUCAAGGCCUCUCUGGCCUCCUCUGCUCGCCUCCUGGUGGAGAUGGUGACCCUUGUAUUGCAUGCAAACCAACAAAUGAUUUGUGAUUGAGCCGGAUUCCAACCUAAUGUGGAUGUUCUCCCUCCUCAGAGCACACUCCGACGCCUGAAGCUUUCUCACUUCCUGGUACGCCCAUCGCAACUCCUCCUCCAUACGUUGAUUGAACUUAAUGGCCUCUUCCAGCUGUCCAUCACGAGACGAUCGUAUCAGCUUCAACUCUCUCAGGAGUGGGUCCCAUGUGUCCCAUCGCCUCAUCGGCCUCCUCGCAGCGUCUCCUGCGUCAGCGCGUCCUUUAAUGCGGCGUGUGGGCACCAGCUUGCCUUGUAUGAGGGAAAUGGAGGUAGUGGGUGACGAAACAGCCGUCGGAUUCGGGAGCAGGCGGCGCCGCUCUCGUCUCAGAGCCACUUCGAGGGCCAGACAGCGCGCGUCGCUCCCUUGCAGGGCUGAGCGCAGAUCCUCCACCAGCUCCCUGAGUGCCGCUAACUCUUCUGGUGGUGGAGAGUGGAAGGAGUCCGUAGCAUGGGCGAGGCCACCGGAGAAGAAUCUGCCUCUCCACCAGCUCGGUCUCCUCGGUGACGGGCAGCCGCCAGCCUCUUUGCGCCGUGCGCACACGAAAGAAGCCGCACAGACGCGCGUGGAAGUCCUUAAAAGUUAACUGACACGGCAACCCGGAGCAAACGUCGCCGAACUCUUCCUCGUCGUCGCCAUCUCCAGCUAAGGUUCCCUUCGUGCUCCUCUGACCCUUCCGAGCUCCUGUGACACCCAGGACUGCGCACAGCGUAGUGAAGUCCUCCGCGGACACUUUAUCUUCCCUGUUGGGGUAAGCAAGAUGGUGGAAGACCUCCUGCAAGUAUUGGUCUAUUCCGGUGGCCAGGACGACUAUUUCAUUCUCCACGCCGGGAUCGGGGUUGUGGUGGUGGGCCAAGGCGCACCGGAGCCAUUCGCUCCUCCGAGCUGCUCGUGGCCAAGGCUGGAUGCACCUCAUAGCUGAUAUCGGCAAGUAUUCUCCUAGGUAGGUAUCAGCCGAUAGUCUAAACUUUAAGGAUUUUGCACCAAAUUCCCUGAAAAGCUAACAUUGACUUCAUUCCCGGAUCAUCAACUCUACAUCUGAUCCCUUCAACAGAGAAGUCGGGGGCGGGCAGGUCGAGCCAAAUGUCGA